UGGGGAAUAUUGCGCAAUGGGGGGAACCCUGACGCAGCCAUGCCGCGUGAAUGAAGAAGGCCUUAGGGUUGUAAAGUUCUUUCGGUAUUGAGGAAGGUUGAUGUGUUAAUAGCACAUCAAAUUGACGUUAAAUACAGAAGAAGCACCGGCUAACUCCGUGCCAGCAGCCGCGGUAAUACGGAGGGUGCGAGCGUUAAUCGGAAUAACUGGGCGUAAAGGGCACGCAGGCGGUUAUUUAAGUGAGGUGUGAAAGCCCCGGGCUUAACCUGGGAAUUGCAUUUCAGACUGGGUAGCUAGAGUACUUUAGGGAGGGGUAGAAUUCCACGUGUAGCGGUGAAAUGCGUAGAGAUGUGGAGGAAUACCGAAGGCGAAGGCAGCCCCUUGGGAAUGUACUGACGCUCAUGUGCGAAAGCGUGGGGAGCAAACAGGAUUAGAUACCCUGGUAGUCCACGCUGUAAACGCUGUCGAUUUGGGGGUUGGGGUUUAACUCUGGCGCCCGUAGCUAACGUGAUAAAUCGACCGCCUGGGGAGUACGGCCGCAAGGUUA
rnacentral:rRNA from 1 species